rnacentral:lncRNA from 1 species
CAAAGUAAGGAUUUAAACAAUUAUGAAGAGAAACGAGAAGUUUGAGAGACAUAAGGUUUUUGCAGCCAUCUCCUUCAACACUAUCAGUACUGUGAAGAGGAAGGCCAGUGACAUUUGAUAUGAUUGGGGUAACAAAUUUGACCAAAUGCCAAAGCGUACUGUUGUGAGUUGCCUUUACCACAACUUCAUUGGCCACUGCUGCAAAAGGAGUGGUUGGGUAAUACCUGAAUACCCAGUGCAACCCCAGCUAAGUUUGCUUUCAAUCUCCUGCCAAAUUUGGGGUUAUGCUGUUGGCAAACUCUGGUUAUCAGACAGGGCUUUUGAAUUUAUUCCAGACCUGAAAUAGCAUUGUCAAAUUAACAUCAGAGUGUGACAAAAAGUCCCUCACACUCAUGAAGUGGAGAAACUAUCACAACACAGCCUAAGAUGCCUUGUUCAAGAAGAGGGGUUGGUUGGGAGCCAUCGACUUCCAUGAGCCGUCUGUUUCUGCAGCAGUGCUGAAGUGGCAAAAACAAACACGACUUUUUCAGAGGGCUAAUUCCUUUCUUUUCUUUGUCUGAUUCCUUGUCAGCACAGCUUUUCUUUGCUGUCUGCAAGGCUGCUGAGCAUAAUAAAGGCUGGGAAUGUCUGUCA